rnacentral:rRNA from 1 species
CCGAAUACAUUAGCAUGGGAUAAUGGAAUAGGACCCUGUCCUCCUAUUUUCAGUUGGUUUUGGCAGCGCGAGGACUAGGGUAAUGAUUAAUAGGGAUAGUUGGGGGCAUUAAUAUUUAAUUGUCAGAGGUGAAAUUCUUGGAUUUAUGAAAGAUUAACUUCUGCGAAAGCAUCUGCCAAGGAUGUUUUCAUUAAUCAAGAACGAAAGUUAGGGGAUCGAAGACGAUCAGAUACCGUCGUAGUCUUAACCAUAAACGAUGCCGACCAGCGAUUAGGAGACGUUGAAUACAAAACACCACCAUCGGCGCGGUCGUCCUUGGCGUCUGUCCCUUUCAACGGGGGCAGGCGCGAGGGCGGUUUAGCCCGGUGGCACCGGUGAAUGACUCCCUAGACCUUGGGUGAGAA